AACGUAGGUGGCAAGCGUUAUCCGGAAUUACUGGGCGUAAAGGGUGUGCAGGCGGGGUGGCAAGUGGUGUAUGAAAUAUCCCAGCUUAACUGGGAGGGGUUAUGCCAGACUGCUACUCUAGAGGACGAGAGAGGGGCGUGGAAUUCCGGGUGUAGUGGUGAAAUGCGUAGAGAUCCGGAGGAACCCCAGAGGCGAAGGCGACGCCCUGGCUCGUACCUGACGCUGAAUAGCGAAAGCCAGGGGAGCAAACGGG
rnacentral:rRNA from 1 species